GUCGACGGCCACGGUUCCAUCUCUCUCCGGCGGCCAUUUUGUUGUUGUCUUUGCUAUGCCCUAGCGCCGGCAGCCGACCACAGUGCCCUAGCCUUCCUUCUGCCACAGCCGCCACAGGGAGCAGUGAAGCCGCCUUUCCUCUUCUUCCUGUCCAAGCGCCGGUGACGUGCGAGCACAACCGAGCAGAGCCUUCACAUUUCUCUAGCGCCAUCCUCCUUCCCUCUGUGCUGCCGAGCCGACUCUUCCUCUGUUUCCCUCGCUGUGGAGAUUCCGGUGCCGCCGCCGCCGACGGCCGAAUCUCUCUGCCGACGCCACUGCUCUCUCUGGACCGGAGUAGCCUGUGCCCUAGUUAUUUUCCCCUUGCCACGGCUACUGCCGCCGCAGAUCAGCAGGCACACUCCAGCAACGUUGGUGUUCUCUCGUGCCCUAAAUCCUCAGUUCUCUAUUCCAGUGAGUUACUGGAUGAAGGCACCUAGUUGGUUCCGGAUAUCACAGCAUUAAUAGUUGUUGCUGACCCUGCUUAAUUCCGACCAGCAGCACCCCAUUGUUCCAGAAAUCAAUAAGGCUGAGAAAUAAGGACUUUGACGCGAGACGAGUAUCUCGGAGUCAGACUUGGACCUUUUC